rnacentral:rRNA from 1 species
UGGGUCCUACGGGGGGCAGCAGUAGGGAAUCUUCCACAAUGGACGAAAGUCUGAUGGAGCAACGCCGCGUGAGUGAAGAAGGGUUUUGGCUCGUAAAGCUCUGUUGGUAGUGAAGAAAGAUAGAGGUAGUAACUGGCCUUUAUUUGACGGUAAUUACUUAGAAAGUCACGGCUAACUACGUGCCAGCAGCCGCGGUAAUUCGUAGGUGGCAGGCGUUGUCCGGAUUUAUUGGG